UCCCGAAGCCAUCAUUUUGGGAGCUGAGGUAGGUCGUGGUGCUGAUUUGCUUUCUCCCUCAGUGCCUGACUUUGGGCUUCUCAUGUGCCUGGAGUGCUUUCUUUUUAGGAUUGCAGACGUCCUAAAAGCAGAGGGGCAGCUUGGGAGGUCAAAUAGCUAAUCUCUGACUCUCCAUUUGCCCUCCGAAGUGCUCUUCUGAGAAGCGGAACAAGCCCUUCUCCUCCCUGCUGCCUGGGCUCACUGAGAGGGAGCUGGUCUCAGCACAAAGCAUCAGCAAAGUGAGCAGGGCCAGGGCCAGUAGAGCUGGGCGCCCACUGAGUGCACCACACAUGAAGCCAAGAGAGGAAGAGCCAUCUCUUCCAGGACAACUAAGGAUGGAUUUGCCUUUUUGAAAAUUUGAGAUUGGACUUGCCCUUUGGUAGAGCUAACCACUGCUACCAGUUUCUACAGUAUCUUUCCAGAGAUACUACAGGUGAAAGUGUCUAUUUAUCUAUGUCCUGCAUAAAUGCAAGCAUAUAGGCAUCUUCUGCACCUUGCUGUUUAAAAAACACUUUUUAAAACACUACCCACUUAAAAUACUUUAAUAGAUCCUGGUUCUCUGCAAAAUAAAGCCCAAACUUUUUCUGGUAUGAAACAUCCUUUAUAACUCCCCAAAUGAGUAUCUCCUUCCAGUUCAGUGACCCCCCUCCUUCCUUCCAGCUUCUUCCUCUCCCUCCCACCCCACCCCAGGUUUCAACAGCAUAGAGCUCCAGGCCUGGGAGCCUCACUCCUGUUGGUCCUUUUGUCUGGAGACUCUUGCUUUUUCUUCUACAUACAAAGUGAAAAUUAUAUGAAUGAAUUUCACCAGGUGGGGAAGACUCCUCGUCAUACUUGCAAAUAGCAGUUUCAUGCCAAGGAUGCUGGCUUCAUAUGUGAAACUAUGGAAAAGUUUUCUUGAGAGAGUGCCAUGGGGCUGUGAGAGAAGUACUGGUUUUGAACAUGCAGAAGAUUAAAAUUUGAGGUCAAUGCCUUAAAAAGAUCCCUGAAUACAUAAAGCUUUAAGCGGGGAGUGGUGGGGGUUCUGUUUA
rnacentral:lncRNA from 1 species